UAGAGUGUCAGUAAGAAAUGAAACCCCUAACGUUUCUUUGUAGAUGUUGACACAUUCACUUCUAACUCCUUAUGACCCCUGUAGUGUUGUAGUUUUUUUUUAUAUGAAGUGUCUAUUAAGACUUUAGUUUCUCACUGGGUUAUAAGAAUUUUACAGUUUUGAUAUUUCCUAAUGAAAUGAAGACUCUAGAACAUUCUUCCAUCAGAUCAAUCCA